rnacentral:rRNA from 1 species
GGAGUCUAGCAUGUGCGCGAGUCAUUGGGAAAUAACUAAACCUAAAGGCGCAAUGAAAGUGAAGGUCCGCCUCGCGCGGACCCAGGGAAGAUGGGCGUCGGUUCACAGCCGCGCUCCGCAUUCCCGGGGUGUCUCGUUCUCAUUGCGAGAAGAGGCGCACCAAGAGCGUACACGCUGGGACCCGAAAGAUGGUGAACUAUGCCUGGUCAGGACGAAGUCAGGGGAAACCCUGAUGGAGGUCCGUAGCGAUUCUGACGUGCAAAUCGAUCGUCGGAACUGGGUAUAGGGGCGAAAGACUAAUCGAACCAUCUAGUAGCUGGUUCCCUCCGAAGUUUCCCUCAGGAUAGCUGGCGCUCGUUGCUAACGAGUCUCAUCCGGUAAAGCGAAUGAUUAGAGGCAUUGGGGCCGAAACGGCCUCAACCUAUUCUCAAACUUUAAAUGGGUGAGAUCUCCGGCUUGCUCGAACCGAUGAAGCCGCGAGAUACGGAUCAGAGUGCCAAGUGGGCCAUUUUUGGUAAGCAGAACUGGCGCUGUGGGAUGAACCAAACGUCGAGUUAAAGCGCCUAAAUCGACGCUUAUGGGAUACCAUGAAAGGCGUUGGUAACUUAAGACAGCAGGACGGUGGCCAUGGAAGUC